rnacentral:lncRNA from 1 species
GCUUGUAUAUGUUUGUAUCACAAAUUUUCAUAUUCUUAAUUAUUAAAAUUUUCAUACUCAAAAUUUAGCUCUUUUCUUAGUUUUUUUUUUAAUUUAAAUUUUUAAAAUAUUAAUCAGUUACUUUCUACUUAUAUAUAUAUAUAUAUAAAUCAUGUAAAUGUUAUAUUAUUUGUAAUUAUGUAUGAUUUUUUAUUUUUUUAUUUUUUGAAACGUGCUUUGUGAUUUUGUUAAAUUGGUACAUUAAGAGUAUUGAACCUUUAUUCUGAUU